rnacentral:tRNA from 1 species
GCCGGCAUAGCUCAGUGGUAGAGCAGCGCUUUUGUAAAGCGUUGGUCGGGGGUUCAAAUCCCUCUGCCGGCU